rnacentral:rRNA from 1 species
GUUAUCCAGAGCAGAAUUUUAGUUCUAAUUUAAACCUAUUAAACAAAUAAACAAAUUACAAUGUAGGUUUAAAUAAUAAUCUAAAAAGGUACAGCUUUUUAGAUAAGGAGUACAAUCCCUAUUAGAGAGUAAAUCAUGAUCAACCACAAUAGUUGGCCUAAAAGCAGCCACCAACUAAGAAAGCGUUCAAGCUCAACAGUCUAAGUAAUUAAUUCCACGAUAAAGAUUAGAUCUCCUAACACUAAGACUGGAUCAUUCUAUUCACAAAUAGAAGUAACACUGCUGAUAUGAGUAACAAGAAAAAUUUCUCCCCGCACACGUGUAUAUCAUGAACGAAUAAAUCACUGAUAAUUAUCAAAACAAACAUUUAUUAAACUACUAGACCCUAGCAUUAAUUGUUAGUCCAACACAGGAGUGCGAAUAGGGAAAGGUUAAAAAAAGUAAAAGGAACUCGGCAAACAAAAACCCCGCCUGUUUACCAAAAACAUCACCUCUAGCAUAAAAAGUAUUAGAGGCACUGCCUGCCCGGUGACUUUAGUUUAACGGCCGCGGUAUCCUA